rnacentral:lncRNA from 1 species
GAAUUGUUAAAUAUUAGCGAGAUAAAAUACAAGUUGAAUGAACAUACAUGUUAAUGAGCUUGUUAACUAGUCAGAAAAUAACAAAUGAUUUUCCUUAUUAAUAUCUUUUUCCUCUCUUUUAGUGUAUUUGUUCUUUAAAGUAUUUCAUGUUGUUUUUCUUUGCAAAUUCAGUUCAAAACGUGAGGGUGAUUUACAGCUUGCCAUAUGGAAUACCCACAUUAAUAAUUGCUAAAUAAAAGUUAAUUGAAAUGACUUUUCUAUGUAUGAGCCUAUUUCAUAUGGGCAUACCAGACAGUACUCUAGUAUGCACCUGAUAACUUGUUUCAUUUUGGUGCAAGAAAAGUAUAAACAGUAAAUUUUAAAAUUGUCGCAAUUGUUGGUCAGUAGACAGGAAUACUAAUUGAACUCAUCAAUGGGAAUGUGAACAUGUAGUAUAAAUAUAGGUUGGAAGGAAAUAAG